UACGUAGGGUCCAAGCGUUAUCCGGAAUCACUGGGCGUAAAGAGUGCGUAGGCGGAUGUUUAAGUGCAAUGCGAAAUCCUGUGGCUCAACCAUAUGGACUGUAUUGCAUACUGGAUAUCUUGAGGAAUGCAGAGGCAAGUGGAAUUACCGGUGUAGCAGUGAAAUGCGUAGAUAUCGUAAGGAAGACCAGUGGCGAAGGCGGGUCUCUGGACAGUUCCUGACGCUGAGGCACGAAGGUCAGGGGAGCAAACGGG
rnacentral:rRNA from 1 species